UGUUUUAUGUUUCUUUAAUUGUACAUGAUGCAUAUAAAUAUUUAAUACCUGAAAAGUAGAAGUGCCUACAUAUAUUAUUUGCUAUUUUCUUGAAAAAUUGAGAAGUUUUACAUCAAUUUUCCUUGAUUGUAGGCAAGAUGUUGCUGGUAAUGCUACCAUCCAGUCAUUUUACCAUGAUGUUGUCCAUCUUUAGGUUUUUUUGAGCAAACAUUUGUUUGCAUCUGUGGAUGCUAAAGUGCCACCAUCACCAAUGGCUGAUGUUAGGGCACCAAAAAGUGACAAUGAAAUCAGACGAAAAUCUGUGGGUCAAGUUCCUACUGAUGCCCAAUUUGAUUCUUCGGUGAUAUGGACAAUCUAUUCAUGGGUUGCAAUAUUAUAAGAGGUUACUCGGUGUCGGGAAAAUCAUGCAGCUCUUCAACCAUGGCUGGACAGCUCUCACAUUUGCGCUUCGGCAAUUGGAACGAAAACGCUUAGGAGCACCCUCAAGCUUUUUUAAACCACGAAUCCAACGCAAGGGAUGAAAUUGACA